CAUAUUUUUUGUUCAAUGACAGUUUAUAACUGUACAUUUCCAUUUAACUAACAAUGCUUCUCCUUUUUAAAAUGUGCUGCUCCUUCUUACUCUCUCAACUGUUCCUUCUGACACUUGUGGGUUUGUUUUUUCCUCUUGAACUUCUUGAAGCCCAUCACUGUGUAACUCCUGCCUCCAUUUGUCCUAUUAGACUGCACUUGAAAAAUUCCCUUUUCUUACUUCAGCCUGAUGCAUCGGUUCUGUUGCUCCUUGUCUCGCCUCACUCUUCUUACCUGCAUGUGUCCCCUCCCUCUUCCCUUCUAUCAGAAUAUCUCCUUUCUCCACCCUCUUCAUGUUGAGUAUCUGUUUGCUAGUGACUAUUGUUGCUGAGUAACUAUCCAUUCUCGGUAGUAAGUAUUGCUUCUAUGCUGCUCAGGUGGUUUCUGUUGCAGCUAGCUGAAACUAAAGGAUAUACUUGCAAAAUAUCCCUCCUCCCCAGUCUCAACCCUCCCUGGAUUGUAUUUGAAAUGAAAUACUCCUGUUUUGUAAAUACUGUGUACAUAUGUAUUUUUUUCUUGAACCUAAUAAAAUACAUUUAGAAAUAAGUAUUGUUUGUCUUGAGUUAUAGAAAUGACAUGUUGCACUUCUACUUAAUCAAUGUAAAAAUUGCAUCAAACCCAGAAGACUACGCAAACUGAACAUUGUUUAAGGCAUUUAUUUUAAUAAAAAUCUGAACUGAGACAGCAAUGGACAAUCAAUCAUAUUACAGGGACAGUUCAGUGAGUUGAUAGAUUGACAUCAAAAGUCCUGCAAUUCUGGCUAUCAUGUCACUGAUCAACAUGAUUGCACUGUUUCUAGGGAUUGGCACAAUAUUAAAUGUCAAAAGAAUGGCUCACAGUAUGACCAGAGAGCAGUUGGGAAAAGGCAUGCAAAAUGAGGAAAUUGAGUAGGCUGAAGAAGCACUAAAGCUACAAGCCACAGAAUAGCAAUAGAAAUCCUCAUUAGCAUGUCGUGGAGAGAAAAUUCUACAAGAUUAAUCUCUUCUGUGUAAAUUCAUAAUGAAGGAAAAUAAGUUAUAGGAAGAGAAAAGCACACAGGAAUAAGAGGUGACAGACAGCAGGUACAAGAUAAAAAUUAAAGCAAGGGGCAUAGAACAUGAGGAGGAAAUAUUCUGACUAGACUACUGAAAGAUGAAAGCAGUUUUUCACAGGAGCUCAGAAGACAGGAAAGCAUUCAGAACAGGUGAAUGGAGAAGAAAAACAGCAUAAAGAACUAAAUACAAAGCUGAAAGAGGAGGACCUAAAGAGG
rnacentral:lncRNA from 13 species